UACGUAGGUGACAAGCGUUAUCCGGAAUUACUGGGCGUAAAGAGCGCGCAGGCGGCUGGUCAAGUCCGAUGUGAAAUCUCCCGGCUCAACUGGGAAACUGCAUCGGAAACUGAUCGGCUUGAAGGUGGGAGAGGGUAGUGGAAUUCCCGGUGUAGUGGUGAAAUGCGUAGAUAUCGGGAGGAACACCAGUGGCGAAGGCGGGUCUCUGGGCAGUAACUGACGCUGAGGAGCGAAAGCGUGGGGAGCGAACAGG
rnacentral:rRNA from 1 species